UUUUUUGAAUUGUCAUGCUCUCUUUGGAUCGAAGAGAGGCCAGACAUGUCUCCAAGUUCUCCUGGAGUAUUUCCUACUAUCCAGUAUAGCACCUCUAAGCAGAAGCUUGGGUCUCCCUACCCUCAUGAACCGUUCCAAGAUGAAGCAUUUCCAUGAACAACUUAUGGUGACAUUCUGUACAGGGCCAACAGGCAGUGGCAGUACCAAAGAGAGAAAGAUUCAUGGCAAGCAGAAAGGCACAGCAAGUCCUACACAGUACACCCUGAGGACAGAACUGCAGAGCAGGAGCAGACACUUGCAUCACAAUUCCUGGAACAGAAACAUUGGUUGAGGGACGUUAGAGAGCACAGCGGAAAGACCUGUUUGAGCAGCUGCUUUCGCUAACGCCAAAAGAGUGCACGCUCAUGCUGUGCCUAUGCUGGGGCCUGAGUCCCCUCCAUGAGCCCAUGCGCUGCAUACCAGGAACACUUUAGACAAUUUCAUGAUUGAGUGGCCCAUGCAACUGUGACUUGACUUAGCAGCUGGGCAGGGCAAAUCUACUCCUAGCAGCACAUUUCAACCUCCAUGGUGCUCACCCCUCCCACCCCCACCACACCACACCACACCACACCAUACCACACCACCACCACCACUGCAUGCAGUGAGCCCUGCACAGACCCCCUGCACUCUGGACUCUGCUACAGCCCUGUAGGCUCCUGUUCAGUGGCGACAAGCCUGUGCUAACUGCACAAGAAAGGGAAAGGAGGACAUGCAACAUUGGGUUUUUCUUUGAUGGCACUGUUUGGAUUGUUCAGUGUUUGGCUUAGGCACGUUGUUUUAUUAGUGGUUGUGGUGUUGGUUUUUAUUACUGCUUCAAUGUUCUAGUGGCAGCUGGCCUUCCUGGCAAUAUUUUAAUAUGGUUAUUUUUGUAAGACAAAUAAAGGCUUUUAUUUUACUAAGAAA